AUUGAACGCUGGCGGCAUGCUUUACACAUGCAAGUCGGACGGCAGCGGGGGUGCUUGCACCUGCCGGCGAGUGGCGAACGGGUGAGUAACAUAUUGGAAUGUACCGAGUAGUGGGGGAUAACCAAUCGAAAGAUUGGCUAAUACCGCAUACGUCCUGAGGGGGAAAGCAGGGGAUCUUCGGACCUUGCGCUAUUUGAGCAGCCAAUAUCUGAUUAGCUAGUUGGUGGGGUAAGGGCCCACCAAGGCGACGAUCAGUAGCGGGUCUGAGAGGAUGAUCCGCCACACUGGGACUGAGACACGGCCCAGACUCCUACGGGAGGCAGCAGUGGGGAAUUUUGGACAAUGGGGGCAACCCUGAUCCAGCCAUGCCGCGUGUCUGAAGAAGGCCUUCGGGUUGUAAAGGACUUUUGUUAGGGAAGAAAAGGGAAGUGUUAAUACCACUU
rnacentral:rRNA from 1 species